rnacentral:tRNA from 1 species
GGGGGUGUGGCUCAGUGGUAGAGAGCUUGCCUAGCAUAUGCAAGGCCCUGGAUUCAAUCCCAGCACCACCA